rnacentral:rRNA from 1 species
GACGAACGCUGGCGGCGCGCCUAACACAUGCAAGUCGAACGGAGCUUGCUUGUCAGAUCCUUUCGGGGUGACGACUUGUAAGCUUAGUGGCGAACGGGUGAGUAACACGUGAGUAACCUGCCCCAGAGUGGGGGACAACAGUUGGAAACGACUGCUAAUACCGCAUAAGCCCACAGAACCGCAUGGUUCUGGGGGAAAAGGAGCAAUUCGCUUUGGGAUGGACUCGCGUCCGAUUAGCUAGAUGGUGAGGUAACGGCCCACCAUGGCGACGAUCGGUAGCCGGACUGAGAGGUUGAUCGGCCACAUUGGGACUGAGACACGGCCCAG